rnacentral:rRNA from 1 species
AGUGAACGCUGGCGGUAGGCCUAACACAUGCAAGUCGAACGGCAGCACAGUAAGAGCUUGCUCUUACGGGUGGCGAGUGGCGGACGGGUGAGGAAUACAUCGGAAUCUACUUUUUCGUGGGGGAUAACGUAGGGAAACUUACGCUAAUACCGCAUACGACCUACGGGUGAAAGCAGGGGAUCUUCGGACCUUUCGCGAUUGAAUGAGCCGAUGUCGGAUUAGCUAGUUGGCGGGGUAAAGGCCCACCAAGGCGACGAUGCGUAGCUGGUCUGAGAGGAUGAUCAGCCACACUGGAACUGAGACACGGUCCAGACUCCUACGGGAGGCAGCAGUGGGGAAUAUUGGACAAUGGGCGAAAGCCUGAUCCAGCCACACCGCGUGGGUGAAGAAGGCCUUCGGGUUGUAAAGCCCUUUUAUUGGGAAAGAAAAGCAGCGGGAUAAUCUGCCGCUGUUCUGACGGUACCCAAAGAAUAAGCCCCGGCUAACUUCGUG